UACGAGAUAAAAUGUGACAAAUAUGUUAAUUAACUUGGUCACAAUACAAAUUAGAUAAUAGUAGUAAAGUUUGUGACUAAGCAAUUACCACACUAAACUCAAGGGACUAAAGGUGACAGGUUAAGAAAGCUAGAUGAAUAAAAAUGGAAUAAGAAUUAAAACACACACACAUCAGGUGUGUGUGUGUGUGUUCGACGCCCAGAGCCAGAGAAGAAGGGGAAACCCUUCUAACCACAAAAAUCCAGCCAAUUGAAGCCCUAAUCGUGACUGAAUCUCAUGCAUGUCAAUGAUUUCUUGAUCAGCUAGGCCUAUUAAAGCUUAAGGAUGAAUAACAUAUUUACGGACUCAAGCACGGAGGCUAACGGGUCAAAAGUAAACAUGGAACCUAUGCUUGAACUUGGUCGCUCAAGGUAAGUGAUUCCGUAAUCACUUCUUAGUUGUUUAUGUAAUGUUAUAUGCAAUUUAGUUAUAUGUGAUAAUUGAGGUCGAAUAGGAAUGACUUGUAUGAUGUCAAUGAAGUAUUAAACGGAUUUUAGUUUUGAUCCGAGCAAGGUAGGUGUGAUUAAGAAAUUGUAGCUAAGUAGUGGAAUUGGUUACUUAUGUAAGGAAUUCCUUUGUUAUUAAGGAUAGAGCUAAGUUGACUAAAAUGCCCUUGAUAGGUAUUUCGGCCAAACGACCUUAGAAGUCAUUUGGAAACGAGCUAUUCGAUUAGAGUAAUGUCUUGGACAAGUAUGAAAGCGAAGUAUAGGGUUUGGUAUGUCAUAGUCCACUUAAUGCGCAAAUACCCAUAACGGGUCAAAAAUAAGCCUUUGAGCGAAAAUGGGUUAAGAGGAUGCAAGACGUCCGAGAAUUUAAUCUUUUAUGAUAGGUGCAAUGAAAUUAUUAAGUUCAUAUGACAUUGGGGUCCAAUAAACAGAUUAUGUUGAUAAAUGCACGAACGGGUCAAAUAAUUAGAAAAUGAUUAAUAAGCCGAAUGCGCGUAAGAUAGGAAUUUCCUUAAAUCGGUUAUGGGAUUCCAAGUCCAUAUGAUAGAAUGUGAAUUUACAAGUAUGUAGGAAGAAACGGGAGGUUAAACGGGUAAACGGUUUGAAAGUUACGACCGUUUUCGUAAAAAGGACAAAGUUGGAAAAGCUGAAGAGCAGCCAAAUCGUAAGCUACAGUUCAGUCGUAGGCUACAGAACGUAGCUGCUGUUUGGAUCAGAGCAGCCAAAUCGUAAGCUACAGUUCAGUCGUAGGCUACAGAACGUAGCUGCUGUUUGGAUCAGAGCAGCCAAAUCGUAAGCUACAGUUCAGCCGUAAGCUACAGAAUGUAGCUGCUGUUUGGACCAAACAACUGAAUCGUAAGCUACGGCUGAGCCGUAGCUUACGGUGGCAGUUUUGCAAAAAGUUGAUUGUUUUGUUGUUUUUGACCUUCGGGCAUAAAUAGACACGUUAUUAACUCCUCAUAACUAAUAUUUUUGGGUUAUAAACUCAAGUCUAAGCACCAUAUAAUUAAUAUAUGAGUAUGAUGAUCGAAUGCGAGUAGGUUAAUCAAGAAUUGGAUGUAAGUAAAUAUGUGUAGACAUGAUCAUGUAAGCAUGUAGGUAUAUGUGUAGGUAAGUAGAUGUGUAGGUAUGUAGGUGUGUAUGAUUAGACGUAUGAAUAUACAUACGCACGAAGUAGGAUUUGUCGCCUAUGAAAAGAAUGGGACAGGUAUGCAUGUAUACAUGGUUUCAAUACGUUUGAGUACGGACGUUACUAACGAUGUGCUUGAGAUUGGAAUGUAAUGCAGGAAUGAGUGCGUCAGAUUAUGUAGAAUUAAAGCCGAACUCGGAACAUGGGAAUUCGAGAGGAUAGCCGAUUGAAUCAAAGUUUAUGUUAUCGAAUGUUCUAUGAUUUUUAAUCGUAUGAGAUUAUUGUUGUAUGAUGUUGUCAAUGACUAACGGUUAAGUUGUAUGUGAUGUCCACAGGUACUACACGGAUUUCUUCUACCACUAUCGAAGAUAAGCGGACAUCGAUCGAGUCGAAUAGCAAGGAUUGUACGGAAAGAACGGUCACGUAGUUUGAAUUAUGUAUUGCUUUGAAACGUAAUUUAAUGUGAAUAUUGUAAAUCCCUUCCAGGAAAUGUUUAAAUUUGUAUUUGAGCCUUUAUGUAAGUAAUGUGUCUAACAUAGAAAGAAAUUUUAAGGCUCGUAUUUCCGCUGCGUCGUUCUUGAGAUAUUUACGUGUUAGGGUGUUACAAGUUGGUAUCAGAGCCCUGGUUUGAGAGAAUCAAGUAACAGGAGGUAAAUACUUGAACUCAAACCGGUGUGCUCUCGUGACCAAGAACCCGUGCAAUCCAAGACUCGAUCGAGGCCUAAAGGCAAAAGCGAAUGUAAUUAUGUAUUAGAUUAUGUAUUUGAAGGAAACUAAUAGUAUGUUUUGUGAAGGGUAAGCGCAAUUGUUGGGAGAGAUGAUCCGUGAAUGCGGUCUAGGACCGGCAUCGAGGCAAGUAAUGAAACGAAUUGACCCCAGGUACGUAAACCUAAUGUAUGGGCGUAUGAAAUGGUAUGGUUAAGCAAGUGAAAGAAAAAUUUUGAACAAAUUAUGAUAACGACAUGGUAAAUAAGUUUUGAAAAUGUUACACGAGCCAAAACUAAAUUCUUUGGACAUAAGGUGGCAAUUACGCGAAGACACGAAACUAGUACGUGGAAUGUGUACCUGACCAAUACACAAGAAACAUAUGACGUUCGUGAGACCGUGAUAGUUAUUACAGGUAUGUCCGAUAGAGUUUGGUAGCAGCUAGGCGUGUGGGUGAAAUGGGUAGUAAGACUCUUGGGGGAUUGAGAGUACUUUGUAGGAAUGAAAGAUGUGAAUGCAAUGCUUGAAUCCGCGAGACGGAUUCAAGGAAUGAAAUAUGCGAAUGCAAUGCUUGAAUCCGCGAGACGGAUUCAAGGAAUGAAAUAUGCGAAUGCAAUGCUUGAAUCCGCGAGACGGAUUUAAGGAAUGAAAUAUGCGAAUGCAAUGCUUGAAUCCGCGAGACGGAUUCAAGGAAUGAAAUAUGCGAAUGCAAUGCUUGAAUCCGCGAGAUGGAUUCAAGGAAUGAAAUAUGCGAAUGCAAUGCUUGAGUCCGCGAGACGGAUUCAAGGAAUGAAAGAUACGAAUGCGAUGCUUGAGUCCGCGAGACGGAUUCGAGGAAUGAAAGAUAUGAAUGCGAUGCUUGAAUCCGCGAGACGGAUUCAAGGAAUGAAAGAUACGAAUGCGAUGCUUGAAUGCACAGGACGGAUUCAAGGAAUGAAAGGCAUGAAUGAAAUGUUUGAAUCCACGAGACGGAUUCAAAGAAUGAAAGAAGUGAAUGCAAUAAUUGAAUCCGUGAGACGGAUUCAAAACAUGAAAGGUACGAAAAGUAUGAGUAAGGUGUUCGAAUCCGCGAAACGGAUUUAAGAUAUAAAAGACAAAAACUAUUCUACUUAAGAAGAAGUCAAUAGUUUGACCAUGAUUGUGUCACACAAGUCAUAUAAGUAAAUGUAAAGCAAAUGAACAAAAUUAUGAUAGGAGUGAAAAUUUCCGAAUGUGAAGUGAUUACAUACCAAAACAAAUAAAUAUUCCUUAAGUGAUAUGAUCCAAAUUAUGUUUAAACUUUUUGUAUAUUUAUACAUGAUUAUAUUUAUGUAAAUGUGUUGUAAGCAAGAAUGGUAGAAAGGAUAAAUGGGACAUACGGGUCAGAUGGCGACCGCCAUUUGAACUCGGUAGUUAAUGAUUUGAUUUGUCAAGUUUCAUGCUCAUAGGUGAGCUUGAAGAAUGGAGACGCAAUGUCACUAACAGGAAAGGAAUGAUCAUCGUAAGGAUGAAUAACAUAUUUACGGACUCAAGCACGGAGGCUAACGGGUCAAAAGUAAACAUGGAACCUAUGCUUGAACUUGGUCGCUCAAGGUAAGUGAUUCCGUAAUCACUUCUUAGUUGUUUAUGUAAUGUUAUAUGCAAUUUAGUUAUAUGUGAUAAUUGAGGUCGAAUAGGAAUGACUUGUAUGAUGUCAAUGAAGUAUUAAACGGAUUUUAGUUUUGAUCCGAGCAAGGUAGGUGUGAUUAAGAAAUUGUAGCUAAGUAGUGGAAUUGGUUACUUAUGUAAGGAAUUCCUUUGUUAUUAAGGAUAGAGCUUAGUUGACUAAAAUGCCCUUGAUAGGUACUUCGGCCAAACGACCUUAGAAGUCAUUUGGAAACGAGCUAUUCGAUUAGAGUAAUGUCUUGGACAAGUAUGAAAGCGAAGUAUAGGGUUUGGUAUGUCAUAGUCCACUUAAUGCGCAAAUACCCAUAACGGGUCAAAAAUAAGCCUUUGAGCGAAAAUGGGUUAAGAGGAUGCAAGAGGUCCGAGAAUUUAAUCUUUUAUGAUAGGUGCAAUGAAAUUAUUAAGUUCAUAUGACAUUGGGGUCCAAUAAACAGAUUAUGUUGAUAAAUGCACGAACGGGUCAAAUAAUUAGAAACGGGAGGUAAGAUAGGAAUUUCCUUAAAUUGGUUAUGGGAUUCCAAAUCCAUAUGAUAGAAUGUGAAUUUACAAGUAUGUAGGAAGAAACGGGAGGUUAAACGGGUGAACGGUUUGAAAGUUACGGCCGUUUUCGUAAAAAGGACAAAGUUGGAAAAGCUGCAGAGCAGCCAAAUCGGAAGCUACAGUUCAGUCGUAGGCUACAGAACGUAGCUGCUGUUUGGAUCAGAGCAGCCAAAUCGUAAGCUACAGUUCAGUCGUAGGCUACAGAACGUAGCUACUGUUUGGAUCAGAGCAGCCAAAUCGUAAGCUACAGUUCAGCCGUAAGCUACAGAACGUAGCUGCUGUUUGGACCAAACAACUGAAUCGUAAGCUACGGCUGAGCCGUAGCUUACGGUGGCAGUUUUGCAAAAAAAGUUGAUUGUUUUGUUAUUUUUGACCUUCGGGCAUAAAUAGAUACGUUAUAAACUCCUCAUAACUAAUAUUUUUGGGUUAUAAACUCAAGUCUAAGCACCAUAUAAUUAAUAUAUGAGUAUGAUGAUCGAAUGCGAGUAGGUUAAUCAAGAAUUGGAUGUAAGUAAAUAUGUGUAGACAUGAUCAUGUAAGCAUGUAGGUAUAUGUGUAGGUAAGUAGAUGUGUAGGUAUGUAGGUGUGUAUGAUUAGACGUAUGAAUAUACAUACGCACGAAGUAGGAUUUAUCGCCUAUGAAAAGAAUGGGACAGGUAUGCAUGUAUACAUGGUUUCAAUACGUUUGAGUACGGACGUUACUAACGAUGUGCUUGAGAUUGGAAUGUAAUGCAGGAAUGAGUGCGUCAGAUUAUGUAGAAUUAAAGCCGAACUCGGAACAUGGGAAUUCGAGAGGAUAGCCGAUUGAAUCAAAGUUUAUGUUGUCGAAUGUUCUAUGAUUUUUAAUCGUAUGAGAUUAUUGUUGUAUGAUGUUGUCAAUGACUAACGGUUAAGUUGUAUGUGAUGUCCACAGGUACUACACGGAUUUCUUCUACCACUAUCGAAGAUAAGCGGGCAUCGAUCGAGUCGAAUAGCAAGGAUUGUACGGAAAGAACGGUCACGUAGUUUGAAUUAUGUAUUGCUUUGAAACGUAAUUUAAUGUGAAUAUUGUAAAUCCCUUCCAGGAAAUGUUUAAAUUUGUAUUUGAGCCUUUAUGUAAGUAAUGUGUCCAACAUAGAAAGAAAUUUUAAGGCUCGUAUU